rnacentral:rRNA from 1 species
GACGAACGCUGGCGGCGUGCUUAACACAUGCAAGUCGAACGGUAAGGCCCUUCGGGGUACACGAGUGGCGAACGGGUGAGUAACACGUGGGUGAUCUGCCCUGCACUUCGGGAUAAGCCUGGGAAACUGGGUCUAAUACCGGAUAGGACUCCGGACUGCAUGGUCUGGGGUGGAAAGCUUUUGCGGUGUGGGAUGGGCCCGCGGUCUGUUAGCUUGUUGGUGGGGUGAUGGCCUACCAAGGCGACGACGGGUAGCCGGCCUGAGAGGGUGACCGGCCACACUGGGACUGAGAUACGGCGCAGACUACUACGGGAGGCAGCAGUGGGGAAUAUUGCACAAUGGGCGCAAGCCUGAUGCAGCGACGCCGCGUGAGGGAUGACGGCCUUCGGGUUGUAAACCUCUUUCAGCAUCGACGAAGCGAAAGUGACGGUAGGUGCAGAAGAAGGACCGGCCAACUACGUGCCAGCCGCCGCGGUAA